rnacentral:rRNA from 1 species
UCGGGGUACACGAGCGGCGAACGGGUGAGUAACACGUGAGCAACCUGCCCCCGACUCCGGGAUAAGCGGUGGAAACGCCGUCUAAUACCGGAUACGACACACCGCCUCAUGGCGGUGUGUGGAAAGUUUUUCGGUCGGGGAUGGGCUCGCGGCCUAUCAGCUUGUUGGUGGGGUAACGGCCUACCAAGGCGAUUACGGGUAGCCGGCCUGAGAGGGCGACCGGCCACACUGGGACUGAGACACGGCCCAGACUCCUGCGGGAGGCAGCAGUGGGGAAUAUUGCGCAAUGGGCGAAAGCCUGACGCAGCGACGCCGCGUGGGGGAUGACGGCCUUCGGGUUGUAAACCUCUUUUACCACCAACGCAGGCUCCCAGUUCUCUGGGGGUUGACGGUAGGUGGGGAAUAAGGACCGGCUAACUACGUGCCAGCAGCCGCGGUAAUACGUAGGGUCCGAGCGUUGUCCGGAAUUAUUGGGCGUAAAGAGCUCGUAGGCGGCGUGUCACGUCUGCUGUGAAAGACCGGGGCUUAACUCCGGUUCUGCAGUGGAUACGGGCAUGCUAGAGGUAGGUAGGGGAGACUGGAAUUCCUGGUGUAGCGGUGAAAUGCGCA